UCGAGUGAGGGUCUCCCCGCGAGCCCGACCUCUCCACCCGUGUUUACUGUACUGAGUUGCUUUGGCGGGCCCGCCGUUCAGGCCACCGGGGGGCGGGAGCGAUAUCCCGCCUCCGGGUUCGUGUCCGUCGGAGAUGAGGGGAAAAACCUUUGUUGUCGGAUAUGCUGUCUGAGUGGAUAACAGGAGAAAUCGUUUA
rnacentral:misc_RNA from 1 species